rnacentral:rRNA from 1 species
UACGGAGGGGGCAAGCGUUGUUCGGAUUUACUGGGCGUAAAGGGUCCGUAGGUGGUUGUGUAAGUCUGGUGUGAAAUCUUCGCCGCUUAACGGGAAGACGCCACUGGAAACUGCGCAACUUGAGUAUGGUAGAGGCAAGCGGAAUUCCUGGUGUAGCGGUGGAAUGUGUAGAUAUCAGGAAGAACAUCUGUGGCGAAGGCGGCUUGCUGGGCCAUCACUGACACUGAGGGACGAAAGCGUGGGGAGCAAACGGG